UCACUUAAAGAGUAUAUACUCUAAAAAUUAGAAUGAUACAGUGAAGAUUAGCAUGGUUCCUGUGCAAGGAUGGCAUCAAAUUCAUGAAGUAUCCCUAAUAUAU